rnacentral:lncRNA from 1 species
UGGUCAUCUCUACGUUUUCUUCUUUUACUUCUUAGGUACUUGAAGUGAUUCUCUUUUCGCUUUGUGAAGUGCCUGCAUUGUUCUCUCGAUUUCUGGAUCGAUCGGUAUCAGCAUUUUGUCGGUACCUCACAUAAACAAAUAAGAAAUACAUUAGUAGCACCGCACCAAAUAACACACAAGUAGAGAAAAAAUAAAAUUAAUAACAAAGUAAAAUGAAAUUUCGAACUAAAGUUAGAAAUUGCAAAAAAAUCAAAACAAAAACAAAAAUUAAAACAAACAAAUAGAAAACUAAAAAUGUUGCACUAAAUUGUCUUAUUCAAAA